GUGUGUAGAUGGGUUAGGUGUAGUGUGUAGUGUGAGGUUGUGUAGUGUGUAGAUGUGUAGUGUGUAGUGUGUAGAUGGGUUAGGUGUAGUGUGUAAUGGGUUAGGUGUAGUGUGUAGUGUGUGGUUGUGUAGUGUGUAGUGUGUAGAUGG